UACGUAGGGUGCAAGCGUUAAUCGGAAUUACUGGGCGUAAAGCGUGCGCAGGCGGUUUCGUAAGUCUGUCGUGGAAUCCCCGGGCUUAACCUGGGAAUGGCGAUGGAGACUACGAGGCUAGAGUUUGGCAGAGGGGGGUAGAAUUCCACGUGUAGCAGUGAAAUGCGUAGAGAUGUGGAGGAACACCGAUGGCGAAGGCAGCCCCCUGGGUCAAAACUGACGCUCAUGCACGAAAGCGUGGGGAGCAAACAGG
rnacentral:rRNA from 1 species